rnacentral:lncRNA from 1 species
ACGUUCUGGUCCUUCUGGAAACAGGCCCUGCUUUUAUAUAUGGAGUAGGCUUUUGAUUUUGGGUGGAAAGACCCAUUCAUUAGUAACUAACAAUACAUGAUUGAUGCGUUAACCAAAAGAUCCAGAAUGGUAGUAAUAAUAUUGUAUAAUAAGUAAAAUAGAAUACACGAUUGAUGCGACAGAAUAAGCAGUUAGAUUAAUCUGUUCAAAAUAAAAUUGUGAAGGUGAGGAAAAAUGUAUCGACUACUGCUACCACUCAUCAUUGUUCAUGAAACGAUGAUUGGAUUUUCGGUGUGCAAUGAUGAGGAAGCCUGCCCUUUUCCUUUCUUGUCCAAAACUCCAAAUUUAGCCAAAGAACGGGGGGACUCCACAAGUGUUUGAUUUUGCAUUUUAGUCCCGAAAAUGAAUAGUUUGAGUACUAGUACCCCCAAGUUCUUACUACUAAGUCCCAUUACGCUCAAAAGUCAAGAUUCACACAACAAUCUCCCCCACCCUGGAAUCCUUUCCAGUUU